UGCAAGUCGAACGGUAAGGCCCCUUCGGGGGUACACGAGUGGCGAACGGGUGAGUAACACGUGGGUAAUCUGCCCUGCACUUCGGGAUAAGCCUGGGAAACUGGGUCUAAUACCGGAUAUGAGCUCCUGCCGCAUGGUGGGGGUUGGAAAGUUUUUCGGUGCAGGAUGUGCCCGCGGCCUAUCAGCUUGUUGGUGGGGUAAUGGCCUACCAAGGCGACGACGGGUAGCCGGCCUGAGAGGGUGAUCGGCCACACUGGGACUGAGACACGGCCCAGACUCCUACGGGAGGCAGCAGUGGGGAAUAUUGCACAAUGGGCGGAAGCCUGAUGCAGCGACGCCGCGUGGGGGAUGACGGUCUUCGGAUUGUAAACUCCUUUCAGUAGGGACGAAGCGAGAGUGACGGUACCUGCAGAAGAAGCACCGGCCAACUACGUGCCAGCAGCCGCGGUAAUACGUAGGGUGCAAGCGUUGUCCGGAAUUACUGGGCGUAAAGAGCUCGUAGGCGGUUUGUCACGUCGUCUGUGAAAUCCUCCAGCUCAACUGGGGGCGUGCAGGCGAUACGGGCAGACUUGAGUACUACAGGGGAGACUGGAAUUCCUGGUGUAGCGGUGAAAUGCGCAGAUAUCAGGAGGAACACCGGUGGCGAAGGCGGGUCUCUGGGUAGUAACUGACGCUGAGGAGCGAAAGCAUGGGGAGCAAACAGGAUUAGAUACCCUGGUAGUCCAUGCCGUAAACGGUGGGCGCUAGGUGUGGGGUCCUUCCACGGAUUCCGUGCCGUAGCUAACGCAUUAAGCGCCCCGCCUGGGGAGUACGGCCGCAAAGGCUAAAACUCAAAGGAAUUGACGGGGGGCCCGCACAA
rnacentral:rRNA from 1 species